AUUUGAUAUAUUACUAUACAUUUAACUAGAUUGGUAUUUUUAUGCAGAAGGGCUUUUAGUUGUAUUUUGUUGUCUCUUACAAGUUUAUAUUAUAACAGUGUGACAAUAAUUGAAUGGGAAAUUAUAACUUUAAAUUCUUCUUCAGUCGUAAUGACUUUAAUUUUUGAUUGAAUUUCUUUUAUAUUUUUAGGAUUUGUACUUUUUAUUUCUUCAAUAGUGUUAUUCUACAGAGGUGAUUAUAUAGAGGGAGACAAAAGAUUUAAUCGCUUCAUAUAUUUAGUUCUUGCUUUUGUAUUGUCUAUAGGUGCUUUAAUUGUAAGGCCAAAUAUAAUUAGAAUUUUAUUAGGUUGGGAUGGGCUAGGUUUAGUAUCAUACGCAUUAGUUAUUUUUUACCAAAAUGAAAAAUCUGCAAAUGCAGGAAUACUAACAGUUUUGUCUAACCGAGUUGGUGACGUUGCUAUUCUUCUUAGAAUCUCUUUAAUAUUUAUAGCAGGAGGUUGAAAUUUUAUUUUAUACAGAAGAUAUAUAAGGGAUUCUAAUUUGUUAUUAAUAAAAUGUUUAGUUGUCAUAGCAGCUAUAACAAAAAGGGCUCAAAUCCCCUUUUCUGCUUGGCUUCCAGCUGCCAUGGCAGCUCCUACUCCAGUGUCUGCACUAGUUCAUUCUUCUACUCUAGUUACGGCAGGUGUUUAUUUAUUAAUUCGUUUUAGCCCAGCUUUAAUAGGAUCAGAAGCCCAAUCUGUUUUAUUAAUUAUUUCUUGUCUGACAAUAUUUAUAGCAGGAUUAGGGGCUAAUUUUGAGUAUGAUUUAAAAAAGAUUAUUGCUUUAUCAACAUUAAGUCAACUUGGUGUAAUACUAAGGAUUUUAGCUCUUGGUUUUGCUGACUUAGCUUUUUUCCAUUUAUUAGCUCAUGCUUUGUUCAAGGCACUCUUAUUUAUAUGUGCUGGAGUAGUUAUUCAUGCUGUAAAAGAAUACCAAGAUAUCCGUUGUAUAGGAAGAUUAGUUUUUAGAAUACCUUUAACUAGAACUUGUAUAAAUUUGGCUAAUUUAGCUUUAUGUGGAAUACCAUUUUUGGCAGGAUUUUAUUCUAAAGAUUUAAUUUUAGAAGUGGCUUUUAUAAGAAAUAUUAAUUUAUUAGCUUUCGUUUUAUAUGCUUUGGCUACAGGAUUAACUGUUUGUUAUAGAUUUCGUUUAGUUUAUUAUAGUUUGACUGGUCUAUUUAAUUUAAGAAGGAUGAGUCAAGUUAACGAUAAAAGUGUUGUUAUAACUAGAUCAAUGAUAAGAUUGAGGAUUGGUGGUGUCACGGGUGGAGCUUUUUUGUCUUGAGUGAUUUUCCCUGAAUCAUAUAUAAUUUGUUUAACUUUCACGUUUAAAGUGUUGGCUUUAGCAUUAAGAGUGUUAGGAGCUUUAAUUGGUUAUCUUUUAAAUAUUAUAAGUGUAAACUAUAGGUUACGUAGAUUAAAAAGUUAUAGUAAAGUUGUGUUUAUAGGGUCUAUGUGGUUUAUACCUUUUUUAUCUACAUUUAAUUUGAGUCAUGUUAGGUUAAAAACUGCGGGCGCAUGUAUGAAGGUUGGUGACUAUGGAUGAUCCGAACAUUUUGGGGGUCAAGGUUUGUAUUCUAAUGUUAUACAUCAAUCAGGGUACCUUCAAGUUUCUCAAAAUAGAAGUGUAAGAAUUUAUAUAAAAAGGUUUUUAUUUUGAGUAAUUGUUGUAUUUUUUAUUAUAAUUU
rnacentral:misc_RNA from 1 species